rnacentral:lncRNA from 1 species
CACAGCUUGAGUUGUGCCUCAUUCUCCGCCUCUGGCCCUGCAAUCCUCUUAGCUCUCCCUUCAUGCUUCUGGAAGGAAGAGACGGUUUGUAAGGACAAACGGCCGUCAGGGAUGUAAAGAGGGAAGCCCCCGUAGCCAGCUUCUCCAAACACAACUUUGAAAUGCAUUCCAGCAUCCGGAGCCAGAUAUUUGGCAACGCAACUGUUAAUGUUCUGUGGUUUUUCCUCCCUGGGAUCAAUGUGACGUCACCAGUGUAAUUUGAGUCCGGAGCUCUGUUCACACUUUAAAUAGCAGUCCAGGGAUUGAUUUUACAACAGACUUCCCUGGAAGUGCCCAAGCUGAGCUGUGAAAGACCCACAUCGAUGAAAGCAAAACCAAGCCACCCAGCCACCAGCAUGUCCACUUCUCUUCGAGUAAGCCCGUCCAUCCACGGCUACCACUUCGACACAGCUGCUCGCAAGAAAGCUGUGGGUAACAUCUUUGAAAACAUAGACCAGGAGUCCCUGCAGAGGCUCUUCAGGAACUCGGGAGACAAGAAGGCAGAGGAGCGGGCCAAGAUCAUUUUCGCCAUCGACCAAGAUUUGGAGGAGAAAACUCGAGCCCUCAUGGCCCUGAAGAAGAGGACAAAAGACAAGCUUCUCCAGUUCCUCAAACUGCGGAAAUACUCCAUCAAGGUACACUGAGCACAGCAGGAUGGCUAAGGAGCUUAUCCACCAAUGAACCUUUAAAGACCCAGUGAGCCUGCCAGUCUUGGCAGGGGCAGUGUCCCGCACAAAGGCUUGAGAGCUUCUCCCGACAGGACUCCGAGGAUGGAAGGGACAUACCUCACCAGCUACACAGACUCCCAACUCCUUACAGCCCUGAGCUGUCCCACUGGGAGCAAAGUGCCUUCAGCAGGUGUUGAGAACUCUCGCAGCAGGAAAGGAGCAACACAGCCUGAGAGAAUGGAGGCACGGACCAGAACUUGCAGAACAUGGCAUUUGUGGGGACUGAGUGCACGCAUCCAGGGUCCUGGGAAAGGCCCUAAAACUAAACUCAAACCUAACUUGGUUUUUGUUCUUGUUGUUUGGUUUGUUAUUUUGUUUUCUUUCUUUUUGAAAAAUAUCGAAGUGGGUAAGGAGAGGGAGGAAAGAGAAGGAAUAUGAACCGUAAAUGGUUUACUGAAGUUUUGCUUUUUUGUUUUUUAACCCGAAUGUCUUAAAAUGUGGCUAAACCUCCGUGCUGUUUAUGGGGUCAAGAUUUUUACAGAUCAGUAAUUGACUGCUUGCAUUUCAUACAAUGCCUAAGACAGUGCGCCCCCUGGUGUUAAAGUCAAAGAACUGGAUGCCUUGCCCAGCAUGGUGGUCGUCUAUGGAUUUGUACACAUUCCAAAAUGGUUUGCCCAAAGUUGAAAGAAUGGGGCCCUUCAUAAAUCUGAAGGACUGUGAACGAUUUUCUAAUGUUUUUUUAAACUUUCUGGCUAAUGCUAAAAUAUAAUCUAAUUAAAUGUCCUACAGACACCGUAGCGAGCAUUAGGAUAUGAAUAUGAGAGAUUGUUUAGAAGGAUGCUGUGGUAUUUUUUAUAUAAUUUAUUAUACAUUGUAAGUGAUACAUAGCCUAAUAAAUUAUUAUCAACUUAGCUUCUCUUUCUCCGUGAUGAUCGGUCCCGGGGGAAAAUAUAGGACGGUAAAUUCUGAUCAUUGUAAACUUUUCUAGGGGUUGACUCUAAAUCUUUCAGAGCAGCUGUAUGCUGAUUGCCAAACUUUUCCAAAGCAAAUUAUUGCUCUAAGUGUCUAGAGAAGUUUCUCAACCCCAUUUUAAACCCCAUGGCAUAGAUAUAGCUGCCCACAGAGUAAUUUAGCAACGUUACUCUUCUAUAUCCAUUAUCUAUUUCCAUGUUUGUGAAAUUUCUCCUACAGCAGAUCCAUACCCAUUUGUUUCUUCCUAAGCAGUAUGUUUUGAAGUUGGAGUGAAUUAUGAUAAAGUUUCUGUGGGUUAUUCUAGCAUUAUUAUCUCUUUCCUUAUGCCAGCCUAACUUAUAACAAAGCGUUUGUAAAGAGGCAUGCGCCCGUGCCCACUGUGCUUUCUUAACAGAAAGGCAAAAACCGUUUCCAGAAAUUCAGGAGACCUACCAAGUUUCCUUUUUUUUAAAUGCUGAAUAUACC